AGAAGAAGAAGAAGAGUUUGGAUUUGAUAUCCCGCCUUUCACUCCCUUUAAGGAGUCUCAAAGCGGCUCACAUUCUCCUUUCCCUUCCUCCCCCACAACAAACACUCUGUGAGGUGAGUGGGGCUGAGAGACUUCAGAGAAGUGUGACUAGCUCAAGGUCACCCAGCAGCUGCAUGUGGAGGAGCGGAGACGCGAACCCGGUUCCCCAGAUUACGAGACUACCGCUCUUAACCACUACACCACAAAGGACUUAACCAUGACAUCGCCCAUCCUUCUUAUUUCCAGAGAAAACUGGGGAGAAAAACAGCUCCGAACAUAGAUCAAGAUUUAUUCACUUUUAUUCCCCUAGUCUAUUUUAUUCACAAUACGUACGUACAAGUUCCUGCUCACUUCAGACACGGCUGGAUCAGAAACGCACAAAAGGUCAGGACAGCCUACCACCAAAUUCUCUCUAAACCCACACUUGGUUUCAUCUAAUCAGUUUGCUUGGUUGGACAGUGUUGUCGAAGCUACCAGCAUGAGUUUGACCAAACUGCGGGAGGAAGUGGAAGACAGGAGUGCCUGGCGUGCUCUGGUCCAUGGGGUCACGAAGAGUCGGACACGACUAAACGACUAAACAACAACAACAAUCAGUUUGCUGAGAGUUGCUGCCGUCUGUGAGCGACCACUACACGCAAGGUGUGCCCUCCUCCUGGGGGGGAAAGCUGUUCUAAUUACUAACAUCUUUUGAAAGGCUGUUCAAGAUGAUGGACGGGGUUAUUGGGAGACACUGCAAAGCUGGCUGUAGGGGACUCCCCACACACCUUCACCUGACUGUAGGGGCAUCGUGGGAAGAAGGAAGGACUUGGAAGAGAUGCUCCUGGACCACUUCCUGGUCCAGCUGGAAGUGACUGAGGAGGCAUUAUAGCCUGCGGUUGCUAAGCAACUGCUAAGUGCUCCCUUCAACAUUUGGCCUUGAGAGCAAAACAGUAAAGGGACAGGAAAUCACAAUGCACAACUCCAAAGUCCCAGUUAAGGAAGGCAGGUACAGGACAUUGAAUGGCCUUUCUCCAGUGCUCAAGUAUACAGGGUUGUCCCUUCUUUGGAAUAGCAGACAUGACAGGUUUAGAUCUCCCUUUAGUGUGCUGGGCUUUCUCCUUGGAAGUAAAAAGGAUGGGAAUUAUGAACACUUUUGCAUCAGCUUUCGAUGCAAGCCCCUUUUAUUGUCCCUUAAGCAGCUGCUUGACCUGAAGUGGUUAGGAUACCAGCGAUGCUGCAGAAGUGGAUUUCCCGCAUUAGCAGGGGGUUGGACUGGAUGACCUCUGAGGUCCCCUCGAACUCUAUGAUCAGGCGGUAGCAAUGCUGUAACUCAAUGCCAUGAACAGCUUCAUGUGGCUGGUUUCGCAGGAAAGGGCCAAAGCUCAGUGGCGGAGCUUCUGUUUGGCAGAUUCCAGUUUCGAUCCAGGUACGGCUGGGAGACCCCGGCCUGAAACACCUGGACAGCUGCUGCCAGUCAGUGCAGACAAUACUAAACUAGAUGGACCAAUGAUCUGACUCCCAUGUUCAUCUGUUCUGAUUAUUAAGCCUUCAUUAAAGGAACAGGAGCGAACCAGGCUGGCUUGUUUUUCUGGCCUGUUGCAACCCUAAAAGAUGAAAUCAAGUAUUGAAAACUGGCCUUUUGCUUCCUUACUCGGGCACCAUGUAUAAUCUUAACACGCCUAAAAAUCAACUCUUUGAGACCUUGGCUGGGGUUUCUUUCCCCCAGGAAAAACCUCUGAUAGCAGACGGCAUUCCGGUCAAAUGAGGUCAGUUUGGUGUAUACAGGUAGUAACGUUACAACAAGAGGUGUGGGAAGUGGUACAACGCAGGAAGAAAUUGGGGCCGCGGGGUGUAGAUAUUCCCCAGGAUACCGAAAACAGGUUCUUAACAACAUCCAGUAUGAAAUCAUUGUGCUGACGCAAGGAACGAAACGCACCCCCCCAAGUGAGAUUCAAGGCAGUCCAAGGUCUUUUUGUGAGAGGGGUGUGUGUGUGUGUGUGUGUGUGUGUGUGUGUGUCUGUCUGUCUGUCUGUCUGUCUCAGGUCAUCCUAUGCAGAAAACUAUCAAGGUGGUUUUGCAGGUAAGACUUUUUCCUGCCUUGUUAUUCCUGCUGUUUCCCAUGGCACCAAGAGGGACAGAACUGCCAACCUGUUUCCACCAGCCUCUUUAUAAAGGGGCACGGUGGUGUCUUACAAAGGGGUACAGAGCAGUCUGCUCCAGUUGCUCCAGUGGGACUGUUUUAUACGGGAAUUGCUCAGCGCCACAUAAUAUCCGAUCCCUCGCUAUAACAUCGCUCUGAUCUACUUCUUUAUCUAAUCUACCCACCUAAUCUAUUACCUCCCUCACAGCCCAAUCCAAAGUCCAUUGAAAUAAAAGUUGGAGAUUUGACUUAACUGUUGCAACAAAAUACAGUGGUACCUCGGGUUACAUAUGCUUCAGGUUACAUAUGCUUCAGGUUACAGACUCCGCUAACCCAGAAAUAUUACCUCAGGUUAAGAACUUUGCUUCAGGAUGAGAACAGAAAUCGUGUUCCGGUGGCGCGGCAGCAGUGUGAGGCCCCAUUAGCUAAAGUGGUGCUUCAGGUUAAGAACAGUUUCAGGUUAAGAACGGACCUCCGGAACGAAUUAAGUACUUAACCCGAGGUACCGCUGUAUAGCCCUUUGUCUAGGGCUCUAGGAGGUUGAUUACUAGCAUUUCCACUUCAAAGGAUCCGUAGAAUCAUAAAUGGUAGAGUUGGAAGCCCCCCCCCUUUGGUAAUCCUCAUAGAACUCUAGCCCAAUGGUAAUAAUAAUAAUAAUAAUAAUAAUAAUAAUAAUAAUAAUAAUUUAUUAUUUAUACCCUGCCCAUCUGGCUGAGUUUCCCCAGCCACUCUGGGCGGCUCCCAAUCGAGUGUUAAAAACAAUACAGCAUUAAAUAUUAAAAACUUCCCUAAACAGGGUUGCCUUCAGAAUGGUUGCCAUUAAUCUGAUUUUGAAUUGAUUUAGAAUGAAUUGAUUUUAGAAUGCUGUGUUACUUUUAUUGUUGUUAGUCGCUCUGAGCCCGGCUUCGGCUGGGGAGGGCGGGAUAUAAAUAAAAAAUUAUUAUUAUUAUUAUUAUUAUCAUCAUCAUCAUCAUCAUCAUCAUCUAGUCCAAUCCCCUGCAAUGGUAAUUGGUAAUUGGAAUAUUGGUAAUGGCUUAGAAAGAUCCUGGAGAGCAGGAAGCUAGGCUAAUGAUACAUUCUGCAAAAGGUAAAGCUGGACUGAACUUAUUUGAAGGGUGGAAUCCAAAUUUGUGCAUAUAGAAAGCUAGCAUGUCAGGGAAGAGAGUUUAGCCUAGUCAUUCCCCUGAUCUGCUAGUUUUCAUGGUGCAGGGAUUUUUAUUCAUGAUAGACAUGAAUAAAGACAUGGAACCUCUUACUUGGAGCCUGAAGUGUUAAUAAUAAUAAUAAUAAUAAUAAUAAUAAAUUUUAUUUAUAUCCCGCCCUCCCCAGCCGAAGCCGGGCUCAGGGCGGCUAACAACAAUAAAACAGUACAAAAGUACAGCAUAAACAAAGUCCAGGAGAACAUUCUACCGUGUUCUGCUGAUUGCAUAAACUAGUCCUAAAUGUCUAUGGUUGCUAUAUUUUAAUGCAAUUAGGCAGAGCUGUCUUGGAACCAAGCACAAAAACUUAUGAAAUGUUGGCAAUGACAGCUCAAAUCAGGUUUGCCUGGAAUGACCAUGGAAUAGAACGGAGUCUAUCCAUGCUGGAAAGCAAAAUUAGAAUGAGGCGGUAGAAUGGAUUGUACCACAUCACUCUGGUGGUGGGGGGAGAUUUUUGGUUAUGCCUUUUUAACAGGAGACGCGUCAGUACAGUGGUACCUCGGGUUAAGAACUUAAUCGUUCUGGAGGUCCGUUCUUAACCUGAAACUGUUCUUAACCUGAGGUACCACUUUAGCUAAUGGGGCCUCUCACUGCCGCUGCACGAUUUCUGUUCUCAUCCUGAAGCAAAGUUCUUAACCUGACGUAUUAUUUCUGGGUUAGUGGAGUCUGUAGCCUGAAGCGUCUGUAACCCGAGGUACCACUGUACUACAAACUUAAAAAGGGGGAACAAGCACAGCUUCCUCAACAGACCUUGGCAUUCUGCAAGGGGACAAGAGGUCAGUACCUCCACAAAACUUCACCUUGCAGCAAGUCACCUUGCUGGGAAACUGCUUUGCAACUCGCUUCAUUUUCUAGGUAAAAUACACCCAUGGAUCAAAACGUGAAAGGGGCAAUUUUCAGGUUAGAGAAAUUGCUAGUGUGAACCUAAACACAAAUGGAGGCAUAGACCGUCGUGUUAAGUUAAGGAAACUUGUGGUGUGUUGCUUACUCUGCACAAUAAUUCUGAUUCUGGGAGGGUUGGUCUCCCUUCCCCACCCCUUGAAUCUGGAACCUGGUGGCACAGGAACACUGGUGGGAACAGGGCAGCCAUCUUGCCCUUUCCACAGGGCUCCUCUGCAGCGGCACCGUCAAAUAAUUUUAUACUCUGCACUUCAUGAACUUAUGUGAGCCCCUCUUUUGAUGGUCCCAUGUAUCAUUUCACUUGCUCCAACCAACCCUGCCGUGGCUGAGGGAACUCUUCCUCAUUCUGCUGAGCGGAGUCCUAGAGACCUGGCCCCAAUCCUGCCUUGACACUGCUCUUGUAAAUGGAACGUCCACAUGACAAUCGGUAACUCAAGUGGGUUUACUCUGAGUGGGACUAGCAUUGGUGACAACACCAUAUUGACAACUGAACUGGGGGGAGUGCCAUUUGUGUUUUCCACCCUCAGGAAGCAAAAUAACUUAGGCCAGGCCCAUUGGAGGCAAAAUAUGACUUGGGCGGGGCUGCAUAUCCAGAGAAGCUAACCUGUGGCCCUUCAGAGAUGUUGAUGGACUACAAUUCCCAUCAACCCUGACCAUUGGCAAUGCUGGCUGGGGAUGAUGGGAGAUGGGAGUCCAACAACAUCUGGUGUAUGUGUCUGUCACAGUUUAAAGCAGGUUUCCUCAAACUCGGCCCUCCAGAUGUUUUUGGCCUACAACUCCCAUGAUCCUUAGCUAGCAGGACCAGUGGUCAGGGAUGAUGGGAAUUGCAGUCUGAAAACAUCUGGAGGGCCUGAGGAAGCCUGGCUUAAAGCCUUUUGUACCACAGAAAUGGGACUCUUGUGAUUUUCCUAUUGAGGUCUUCCGGAUGUUGUGGGACACCAAUUCCCAUUCCAGCAGUGAGGGAUGAUGGGAGUUGGAGUCCAACAUCACCUGGAAGGCCAUCUGUGUCCUACGUCAGUGUUC
rnacentral:lncRNA from 1 species